GGGCUUAACACAUGCAAGUCGAGGGGCAGCAUGGGCCUUUCUUGCUAAGGCCGAUGGCGACCGGCGCACGGGUGAGUAACACGUAUCCAACCUGCCGUCUACUCUUGGACAGCCUUCUGAAAGGAAGAUUAAUACAAGAUGGCAUCAUGAGUCCGCAUGUUCACAUGAUUAAAGGUAUUCCGGUAGACGAUGGGGAUGCGUUCCAUUAGGUUGUUGGCGGGGUAACGGCCCACCAAGCCUUCGAUGGAUAGGGGUUCUGAGAGGAAGGUCCCCCACAUUGGAACUGAGACACGGUCCAAACUCCUACGGGAGGCAGCAGUGAGGAAUAUUGGUCAAUGGACGAGAGUCUGAACCAGCCAAGUAGCGUGAAGGAUGACUGCCCUAUGGGUUGUAAACUUCUUUUAUACGGGAAUAAAGUGAGGCACGUGUGCCUUUUUGUAUGUACCGUAUGAAUAAGGAUCGGCUAACUCCGUGCCAGCAGCCGCGGUAAUACGGAGGAUCCGAGCGUUAUCCGGAUUUAUUGGGUUUAAAGGGAGCGUAGGCGGACGCUUAAGUCAGUUGUGAAAGUUUGCGGCUCAACCGUAAAAUUGCAGNNUUGUAUAUUGUUGGUGUGAGUACAGUAGAGGCAGGCGGAAUUCGUGGUGUAGCGGUGAAAUGCUUAGAUAUCACGAAGAACUCCGAUUGCGAAGGCAGCUUGCUGGACUGUAACUGACGCUGAUGCUCGAAAGUGUGGGUAUCAAACAGGAUUAGAUACCCUGGUAGUCCACACAGUAAACGAUGAAUACUCGCUGUUUGCGAUAUACAGUAAGCGGCCAAGCGAAAGCGUUAAGUAUUCCACCUGGGGAGUACGCCGGCAACGGUGAAACUCAAAGGAAUUGACGGGGGCCCGCACAAGCGGAGGAACAUGUGGUUUAAUUCGAUGAUACGCGAGGAACCUUACCCGGGCUUGAAUUGCAACUGAAUGAUGUGGAGACAUGUCAGCCGCAAGGCAGUUGUGAAGGUGCUGCAUGGUUGUCGUCAGCUCGUGCCGUGAGGUGUCGGCUUAAGUGCCAUAACGAGCGCAACCCUUAUCGAUAGUUACCAUCAGGUUAUGCUGGGGACUCUGUCGAGACUGCCGUCGUAAGAUGUGAGGAAGGUGGGGAUGACGUCAAAUCAGCACGGCCCUUACGUCCGGGGCUACACACGUGUUACAAUGGGGGGUACAGAAGGCAGCUACACGGCGACGUGAUGCUAAUCCCGAAAGCCUCUCUCAGUUCGGAUUGGAGUCUGCAACCCGACUCCAUGAAGCUGGAUUCGCUAGUAAUCGCGCAUCAGCCACGGCGCGGUGAAUACGUUCCCGGGCCUUGUACACACCGCCCGUCAAGCCAUGAAAGCCGGGGGUACCUGAAGUGCGUAACCGCAAGGAGCGCCCUAGGGUAAAACUGGUGAUUG
rnacentral:rRNA from 1 species